AUUGAACGCUGGCGGCAUGCCUUACACAUGCAAGUCGAACGGCAGCACGGGUGCUUGCACCUGGUGGCGAGUGGCGAACGGGUGAGUAAUAUAUCGGAACGUACCUUAUCGUGGGGGAUAACGCAGCGAAAGCUGCGCUAAUACCGCAUACGCCCUGAGGGGGAAAGCGGGGGACCGUAAGGCCUCGCGCGAUUAGAGCGGCCGAUAUCUGAUUAGCUUGUUGGUGGGGUAAAGCCCACCAAGGCGACGAUCAGUAGCUGGUCUGAGAGGACGAUCAGCCACACUGGGACUGAGACACGGCCCAGACUCCUACGGGAGGCAGCAGUGGGGAAUUUUGGACAAUGGGGGCAACCCUGAUCCAGCAAUGCCGCGUGAGUGAAGAAGGCCUCGGUUGUAAGACUCUUUGUCUAGGAGAACAGCAGCGUCUAACACAGUCUGCGAAUGACGGUACCUCGAAGAAGUAA
rnacentral:rRNA from 1 species